rnacentral:rRNA from 1 species
CCUACGGGCGGCAGCAGUGAGGAAUAUUGGUCAAUGGACGAGAGUCUGAACCAGCCAAGUAGCGUGAAGGAUGACUGCCCUAUGGGUUGUAAACUUCUUUUAUAUGGGAAUAAAACGUUCCACGUGUGGGAUUUUGUAUGUACCAUAUGAAUAAGGAUCGGCUAACUCCGUGCCAGCAGCCGCGGUAAUACGGAGGAUCCGAGCGUUAUCCGGAUUUAUUGGGUUUAAAGGGAGCGUAGGUGGAUUGUUAAGUCAGUUGUGAAAGUUUGCGGCUCAACCGUAAAAUUGCAGUUGAAACUGGCAGUCUUGAGUACAGUAGAGGUGGGCGGAAUUCGUGGUGUAGCGGUGAAAUGCUUAGAUAUCACGAAGAACUCCGAUUGCGAAGGCAGUUCACUGGACAGCAACUGACACUGAGGCUCGAAAGUGUGGGUAUCAAACAGGAUUAGAUACCCCAGUAGUC